AAGAUUUCCUUUCCUUUCUCUACUGACAAGAUUGCAAAAUGUGUGUGAACCAGAAGGCACAGCCAGGACGGGAGCGUGAGGAACUGUAGUAGGCAAGCGUUUUUUCUCUCCCUACCGGAAAUCUGAUGGGCUUAUGACAUCAUGGCUGGCUGCUGAGCGAUGGAGUGGAUGCCACAAAGAAAUCCGACAUGUCAGAUGGAUUCAGAAAUCCCUUUCCCUCCUGCGGCUGGAGGAACAGGCGUGGAGUCGGGAGAGUCUGAGCUUUGUUUGAGAAAUUAUUAAGGAAA
ensembl:lincRNA Gm29019 predicted gene 29019